UACGUAGGCAGCAAGCGUUGUUCGGAGUUACUGGGCGUAAAGGGCGCGUAGGCGGAUAUUUAAGUUAGAGGUGAAAGCCCAGGGCUCAACCCUGGAAUAGCCUUUAAUACUGGAUAUCUUGAGUUCGGGAGAGGUGAGUGGAACUCCGAGUGUAGAGGUGAAAUUCGUAGAUAUUCGGAAGAACACCAGUGGCGAAGGCGGCCUGCUGGGACGUGGCUGACGCUGAGG
rnacentral:rRNA from 1 species